UGAACGCUGGCGGUAGGCCUAACACAUGCAAGUCGAACGGCAGCACAGUAAGAGCUUGCUCUUACGGGUGGCGAGUGGCGGACGGGUGAGGAAUACAUCGGAAUCUACUUUUUCGUGGGGGAUAACGUAGGGAAACUUACGCUAAUACCGCAUACGACCUACGGGUGAAAGCAGGGGAUCUUCGGACCUUGCGCGAUUGAAUGAGCCGAUGUCGGAUUAGCUAGUUGGCGGGGUAAAGGCCCACCAAGGCGACGAUCCGUAGCUGGUCUGAGAGGAUGACCAGCCACACUGGAACUGAGACACGGUCCAGACUCCUACGGGAGGCAGCAGUGGGGAAUAUUGGACAAUGGGCGCAAGCCUGAUCCAGCCAUACCGCGUGGGUGAAGAAGGCCUUCGGGUUGUAAAGCCCUUUUGUUGGGAAAGAAAAGCAGCAGGUUAAUACCCCGCUGUUCUGACGGUACCCAAAGAAUAAGCACCGGCUAACUUCGUG
rnacentral:rRNA from 1 species